GCCAUUCAAAUUGAACUUGGGAGUUUUCACAGAUAAUUGUUCUGAAUUGGAACUCAACACAGCUAAAAUAAUGUAAAAUAAUAAGUAUAAUUAUAAUAAUUUAAAUGUUUUAACAUAGGUAAAGCAAUCUUCCUAAAGUAUUACCUAUUAAGAAUUCAAUUUUUGUUCACCAAAUAAUAUAAAUAAAAACAUAAUUAAAAAGAUGACAGUUGAAUUCAUCGAUAUAAUAUAAGUAUUUCUAUACAGAUUUAAAAGGGUACGCGUGAAUAGUGUUCCUGCGAUUUAUGUGCAAUUAUACCUACUCAUUUGUUAUGUCAGUCGGCGGCGAUGUUGAGG